ensembl:lncRNA
AGGAGGUGUUUUUCACAAACAAGUAAACCAACUGAAUUUUAGGGCAGUUUCAGGUCAGGAAAGAGAAAUUUUCUGAGAUCCUUAAAAAGACAGUUUUCAACUCUUUUUUGCAGGGAGAAGAUAGGCACCUAUGACUGUUUCCAAGAAGGAGCUUUAACUAUUGCAUAAGGUGAAGGUGGCACUGACUGCAAUUGCAAGGCAAUUCUGGAAGAGUCACCAGAGGCGGAAGAGGCAUCAGAGGACACAGACCUGCUGGGGUAAUGAGCUAAAGCCUUCUGAAGGCUUCUAUGCUGUCUCCUGGUCUUUUAAGUGACUGACUGAAAAGAAGUGAAUGAGUAUUAUUCUAGUAAAGUGAACCUUCUCUGUCAGAUAUCUUCAAGCUGCUGAGAAGAUCUUGAGGAGACAGCCUGAGGUAGGAACAGUAAGGACAGCAAAGAUCACAACUCUUCUGGCUCUUCUGCAAGUGCUCCCAGAUGGCAGCUCCUACCUCUGGCCACUGGUACUCUGGAUCCCUGUUUGCUACCCUUGUUCUCAUUGCUGCCUGGCCUCAAGAGAGAAACCUUCCCAACUGGUGAUCAGCUUGGUGCAACCACAGUCCCUCUUAGCUGCUGCUGAUUUUCCUUUGGCCAUUUCUGAGAAUUUCUGGAGUGAGUUUGCUAGUUCUACAAAGAUCUCUCAAACUGUCCAGUCAUUAGAGACCGUGGAAGGAUUACAUUUGGAUAAAAACCAAAAUACCACAAAAUCCAGUGGAAGGCUUGACCCUGAAGUAGGUGACCAUUGUCAGCUUUGUUUGUAUUGCCAAAAUUUGAGAAUAUUUUUCUAGUGUAG